CGAAUCCCCAUGGAUUUACCUGUAUAGCAAGAAAAAAACGAAAAUGGAAAGGGAAUCAACAAUAUUUGUAAAUCAAAUCAAGAAUAGACUUCUUUCCUUUUUAGAUUUGUUUCAUAAGGCUAUAAGAGGCCAUCGAGCAUACUGUAAUGGGGAUGGGGGGAGAUCAAUAAUAAAAUACGUUUUUACAGCACAAACAGAGAUACAACGAAAAUCUAAGGUUGUUUAUAAUCUGUUAUUUAUUAUUUGUUUAUAUACUAUUAAUAAAUAAGGAAAAGAGAGAUACAACCUCUGUUUUGAGCCCUACAUCACCAUGGACGACUGAGGGUAUCGUCUCCGAUGAAAGACGAUAGGAAGUCAAAAGGUUUCAGUGCUUUUGGGGCACUUUCGUUGGUGUUUUGAGGGAUUUAUGCUCAGAUCUGGGCAAAUGAGGUCAAGAAGGCUAACAAGGAAUUUUUUCUUCCUUUCUCCGACCACCGCAGACGGUGGUGCCGGCGCCGGAUAUCGGCGGCCGACGCGGUGGCCAACGAAGGGCCGAUGACUGACCAAUCGGAGGCCGGUGCCGGAGGUUGAGAGCUUU
rnacentral:lncRNA from 1 species